rfam:Trachymyrmex cornetzi contig42100, whole genome shotgun sequence.
CAAACGGCCCUUUUCAGGGCCACCACAAUACCCACACAGCACGAAGU